GGGCCCGCACAAGCAGUGGAGUAUGUGGUUUAAUUCGACGCAACGCGAAGAACCUUACCAAGGCUUGACAUGCAGGGGAAUAGUAUAGAAAUAUGCUAGUACUUCGGUACCCCUGUGCAGGUGAUGCAUGGUUGUCGUCAGCUCGUGUCGUGAGAUGUUAGGUUAAGUCCUAUAACGAGCGCAACCCUCGCGUUCAGUUGCCUCCUGGAGGAACUCUGAACGGACUGCCGUAGUUAAUACGGAGGAAGGUGGGGAUGAUGUCAAAUCAUCACGUCCUUUAUGUCUUGGGCUACACACGUACUACAAUGGCUAUUACAAAGAGAAGCGAAACCGCGAGGUGGAGCAAAACUGAAAAAGAUAAGCCUUAGUUCGGAUUGGAGGCUGCAACUCGCCUCUAUGAAGUUGGAAUUGCUAGUAAUCAUAGGUCAGCAUACUA
rnacentral:rRNA from 1 species